GGGGAUUGCUGUCACAGAAUCUGGCAACCUCAUAGCUCAAACACAGUUCAACUAUAAACAAGCGGAGCCGCAGCUUCUCUGGUUUGCUAACGCCAGGCUAACCAACUUUCUUUCCCAGUCAGUCAGUUCAUCUGGGUCAACCUGUCCAUUAGAAAUGCUUCCCCGUAACCAACCGUAAAGACGAUGACCUGACCAAUGGACCGCUGCUGUGUCUGCUCGCAGAAGGAGGGUCACUUCUGGAAGUAGAUCAUGAAUGACAAACUAGUCUUCCUGGGCCUGCUGUACUUUGUCCAGGGCAUCCCCUAUGGUCUCCAGUCUUCCCUGCUUCCUGUCUACCUGCGUGGAGCUGGUCACUCCCUCACCCGCAUUGGCUUCACCAAGAUCCUCUACUUCCCCUGGGUCCUCAAGGUGCUCUGGGCCCCUUUGGUGGACCGGCUCAGCACCAAACGUCGCUGGCUGGUGGGGACAGUUUCUGGGCUGGCUCUGACAUGCCUCUCCAGUGCUGCCCUGGCCCCGGAAGCACACAUCUGGGGAGUAGCAGGAACCCUGUUGGCCAUGAACACCUUGGCCUCUGUUCAGGAUAUUGCUGUAGACGGGGCUGCGGUGGGGUUGUUGAAAGGUCGUGGGGAGCUGGGGCUGGGAAACACAGCCCAAGUCGUGGGCUACAAGGCUGGGUCGGUGUUUGCCGGAGGUGGGCUGCUGGCUGUCAUUGACGUGGCUGGGUGGAGCUGGAUGUUCCUGCUGCUGAUGUUCGUGUAUGCAGGCGUGGCUCUGUUUGUGUGGGGGGCCCCUGUGCUGGAUGAUGAGACUGUGAGGAGCCAGCAGGCAGAUGGGAGCAGGAGGGCAUGGCAGGGAGCAGAUGCUAUGAGACCAUGGAAGGUGUGGAGGAAGCUGCUGGCAGUGCCCGGCACCCCCUGGACAGUCCUGUACGUGCUGACAUACAAACUGGGUGAGCAGGGUGCAGUCACCAUGUUUCCUCUUUUCCUGCUGGAUCAUCACAUGACCGCCAGGGAGCUCGGCUUCUGGAACGGCGUCAUCGCCAUGGGCUUCUCCAUCUGCGGGUCGUCCCUGGGAGGCCUGCUGCUCGCUCAGUUCAGCAUCGGGGCUCUGAUGCGACGUGUGUUUGUACUGCGCACCAUCAGCAUGGUCUUCCAAAGCUCUCUGCUCACCGUACUGGAACCAUCACCACUCAUGAAAGGUAUGGCCGUCUUGAGCAUGAGUGUUCAACACUUCCUGGGCGGCCUCAUCACCACGCUCACCUUCACUACCAUGAUGCAUUGCACUCAGCGGGCCGAGGAAAGCAUUCAGGCGACCCACUACAGUUUCCUGGCGACCCUGGAGGUUCUGGGGAAGCUGACGUUUGGCGCUCUGGCCGGAGGCGUGGUGGAUUGGUUCGGUUUCCAAGUUGCCUUCCUCUUCUUCCUCACGCUGUCCGCCGGGACGGCCCUGCAUGUGUGGACGGCCACCUUCACUGGUGCUCUCAGGGAACACCAGCUCAAAGAACAGCCCAAGUGAGAUGAGGAUCGGGGGGAGUGACGGGUCCUGAUCUGGGGCCCCUGCAGGUCUAACUGAACGAAUCUCUACUACCUCGUAUCAGCGCUGUAUGGUACGACACACAGGAAGUGAAUGUACAGUCGCUGCACCAAGUAGAGCACACAUUCAUUCACAGCACAAUAGUGGCAACACACACACACACACACACACACAAUAUGUUACCUAAGCAACAACAGUUUGCCAAAGUAGUUUGGGCGUGUUUCAUGUGAGAAAAAAAAUACAUUAAAAAUAUAGUUCGGCUACAACAGAUUUUCAGAGUAAAAUCUUUCUCGUGUUUGGAUUCGAACAGGUCAGCGCUGACCUCAGCCUUACACACUGCAUGGUGCCAUCUCGUCUCAGUUUGUCAGUCAGAGAAUCAGGCUUGUGAAUAAACUCAAACUCAAAACUUGAAAAACCAAAACUUCAGGCAUUGGCUGCUUUGUUUCACUCUUUCGUCUUAAUAUAAAAUAAUAACGUACUAUGAAAUAUACUGCAACUCUCCACGGUACAGUACACUAUGUGCCAUACACAUAUGACAUAAUUUUAUCCAGGCUUAAAAUAUGAAUGAAAUAGCAGCAGGGAAUGUUAUUUAUCACCAGGCUCUGUAGGAGAUUGGAGUAGAAAUUCUUAAAAAAGUCUUAAAUGUAAAGGUAACUUCAGUGUUUUUCAAACUGGACCAUAUACAAGGGACAAACAGUGGACAUCAGAGGGACAACCAGAAGAUACGAAACAAGUGGUGGGCUGAGACAGAUAGUUCUGACUGUAUUACAAGUCAGUGCACCAUCAAAAUGAUUUUCAAGCUGUUAUUUUGAGGUAAAAUAGUUACAUAAAGUUGCUUUAAACUGCUUGUUUUUGCCACCGACUGGUUCAGGUUGUCAUUGUGUGAAAACAUAAUGUGGAGGAUCCCCACCAGACUGAACAUGUUCAUGUGUAACGCAGUGAGUCAGUGGUCUGGUGGUUGUUGGAACAGUGAAUAGAUGAACCAAGAAGGCUUUGCUGAGUUUUAUUUUGUUUUCAUUGGGUUUGAAUGAAGUGGGAGUUACAUUGAUGUGUGAUGAACAAAAAGGAUUUUCACUCUUUU